rnacentral:rRNA from 1 species
CCUACGGGUGGCAGCAGUGAGGAAUAUUGGUCAAUGGGCGUAAGCCUGAACCAGCCAAGUCGCGUGAGGGAUGAAGGUUCUAUGGAUCGUAAACCUCUUUUAUAAGGGACUAAAGUGCGGGACGUGUCCCGUUUUGUAUGUACCUUAUGAAUAAGGAUCGGCUAACUCCGUGCCAGCAGCCGCGGUAAUACGGAGGAUCCGAGCGUUAUCCGUAUUUAUUGGGUUUAAAGGGUGCGUAGGCGGCCUUUUAAGUCAGCGGUGAAAGUCUGUGGCUCAACCAUAGAAUUGCCGUUGAAACUGGGAGGCUGGAGAAUGUUUGAGGCAGGCGGAAUGGGUGGUGUAGCGGUGAAAUGCUUAGAUAUCACGCAGAACACCGAUUGCGAAGGCAGACUGCCAAGCCAUGACUGACGCUGAUGCACGAAAGCGUGGGGAUCAAACAGGAUUAGAUACCCUUGUAGUC